rnacentral:rRNA from 1 species
ACCUGGGAAGUACGGCCGCAAGGCUGAAACUUAAAAGGAAUUGGCGGGGGGAGCACUACAACGGGUGGAGCCUGCGGUUUAAUUGGAUUCAACGCCGGAAAUCUCACCGGGGGCGACAGCAUGAUGAAGGCCAGGCUGAAGACCUUGCCUGAUCCGCUGAGAGGUGGUGCAUGGCCGUCGUCAGUUCGUACUGUGAAGCAUCCUGUUAAGUCAGGCAACGAGCGAGACCCACGCCCACAGUUGCCAGCGAGCCCUUCGGGGUGGCGGGUACUCUGUGGGGACCGCCGCUGCUAAAGCGGAGGAAGGAAUGGGCAACGGUAGGUCAGUAUGCCCCGAAUCUCCCGGGCUACACGCGGGCUACAAUGGUCGGUACAAUGGGUAUCUACCCCGAGAGGGGAUGGAAAUCUCCUAAAACCGGUCGUAGUUCGGAUUGAGGGCUGCAACUCGCCCUCAUGAAGCUGGAAUCCGUAGUAAUCGCGUUUCAACAGAACGCGGUGAAUACGUCCCUGCUCCUUGCACACACCGCCCGUCAAACCACCCGAGUAGGGUCUGGAUAAGGGUGCGCCAUGUUGACGCAUUCGAAUCUGGGCUUUGCAAGGGGGGUUAAGUCGUAACAAGGUAACCAAGGGCGAAU